CGGAGAGUUUGAUCCUGGCUCAGGAUGAACGCUAGCGGCAGGCCUAAUACAUGCAAGUCGAGGGGCAUCGCGGGCAGCAAUGCCUGGCGGCGACCGGCGGACGGGUGCGUAACGCGUAUGCAACCUGCCCCCUACCGGGGGAUAGCCCGGGGAAACCCGGAUUAAUACCCCAUGGCACACUGCCACGGCAUCGUGGUGGUGUUAAAGGUUUACCGGUAGGGGAUGGGCAUGCGUGCCAUUAGCUAGUUGGUGGGGUAACGGCCCACCAAGGCUGCGAUGGCUAGGGGGCCUGAGAGGGUGGUCCCCCACACUGGCACUGAGAUACGGGCCAAACUCCUACGGGAGGCAGCAGUAGGGAAUAUUGGUCAAUGGGCGGGAGCCUGAACCAGCCAUGCCGCGUGCAGGAUGACUGCCCUAUGGGUUGUAAACUGCUUUUAUACGGGAACAAACCCCUAUACGUGUAUAGGGCUGAGUGUACUGUAGGAAUAAGGAUCGGCUAACUCCGUGCCAGCAGCCGCGGUAAUACGGAGGAUCCGAGCGUUAUCCGGAUUUAUUGGGUUUAAAGGGUGCGUAGGCGGCUUCAUAAGUCAGGGGUGAAAUUCGGCAGCUCAACUGUCGGCGUGCCUUUGAUACUGUGGGGCUUGAAUUUGGUCGAAGGAGGCGGAAUGGGACAAGUAGCGGUGAAAUGCAUAGAUAUGUCCCGGAACCCCAAUUGCGAAGGCAGCUUUCUAGGCCAACAUUGACGCUGAUGCACGAAAGCGUGGGGAUCGAACAGGAUUAGAUACCCUGGUAGUCCACGCCCUAAACGAUGGUGACUCGAUGUCGGCGAUAUACUGUCGGUGUCCCAGCGAAAGCGUUAAGUCACCCACCUGGGGAGUACGACCGCAAGGUUGAAACUCAAAGGAAUUGACGGGGGCCCGCACAAGCGGAGGAGCAUGUGGUUUAAUUCGAUGAUACGCGAGGAACCUUACCCGGGCUUGAAAGUUAGCGACGGUACCAGAGACGGUACUUCCCUUCGGGGCGCGAAACUAGGUGCUGCAUGGCUGUCGUCAGCUCGUGCCGUGAGGUGUUGGGUUAAGUCCCGCAACGAGCGCAACCCCUAUGUUUAGUUGCCAGCAUGUUAUGGUGGGGACUCUAAACAGACUGCCUGCGUAAGCAGUGAGGAAGGUGGGGACGACGUCAAGUCAUCAUGGCCCUUACGUCCGGGGCUACACACGUGCUACAAUGGUCGGUACAGCGGGCAGCUACUUGGCAACAAGGUGCUAAUCUCGUAAAGCCGAUCACAGUUCGGAUCGGGGUCUGCAACUCGACCCCGUGAAGUUGGAUUCGCUAGUAAUCGCGUAUCAGCAAUGACGCGGUGAAUACGUUCCCGGGCCUUGUACACACCGCCCGUCAAGCCAUGAAAGUUGGGGGUGCCUAAAGCAUGUAACCGCGAGGAGCGUGCUAGGGCAAAACCGAUGAUUGGGACUAAGUCGUAACAAGGUAGCCGUA
rnacentral:rRNA from 1 species